AUUGAACGCUGGCGGCAGGCUUAACACAUGCAAGUCGAGCGGGGAAGGGUAGCUUGCUACCUGACCUAGCGGCGGACGGGUGAGUAAUGCUUAGGAAUCUGCCUAUUAGUGGGGGACAACAUUCCGAAAGGAAUGCUAAUACCGCAUACGCCCUACGGGGGAAAGCAGGGGAUCUUCGGACCUUGCGCUAAUAGAUGAGCCUAAGUCGGAUUAGCUAGUUGGUGGGGUAAAGGCCUACCAAGGCGACGAUCUGUAGCGGGUCUGAGAGGAUGAUCCGCCACACUGGGACUGAGACACGGCCCAGACUCCUACGGGAGGCAGCAGUGGGGAAUAUUGGACAAUGGGGGGAACCCUGAUCCAGCCAUGCCGCGUGUGUGAAGAAGGCCUUAUGGUUGUAAAGCACUUUAAGUUGGGAGGAAGGGCAGUAAGUUAAUACCUUGCUGUUUUGACGUUACCAACAGAAUAAGCACCGGCUAACUUCGUGCCAGCCGCCGCUGAAAAAC
rnacentral:rRNA from 1 species